rnacentral:rRNA from 1 species
UAGAGUUUGAUCAUGGCUCAGAUUGAACGCUGGCGGCAGGCCUAACACAUGCAAGUCGAGCGGCAGCGGGAAGUAGCUUGCUACUUUGCCGGCGAGCGGCGGACGGGUGAGUAAUGUCUGGGAAACUGCCUGAUGGAGGGGGAUAACUACUGGAAACGGUAGCUAAUACCGCAUGACGUCGCAAGACCAAAGUGGGGGACCUUCGGGCCUCACGCCAUCGGAUGUGCCCAGAUGGGAUUAGCUAGUAGGUGAGGUAAUGGCUCACCUAGGCGACGAUCCCUAGCUGGUCUGAGAGGAUGACCAGCCACACUGGAACUGAGACACGGUCCAGACUCCUACGGGAGGCAGCAGUGGGGAAUAUUGCACAAUGGGCGCAAGCCUGAUGCAGCCACGCCGCGUGUGUGAAGAAGGCCUUAGGGUUGUAAAGCACUUUCAGCGAGGAGGAAGGCGUUGUAGUUAAUAGCUGCAACGAUUGACGUUACUCGCAGAAGAAGCACCGGCUAACUCCGUGCCAGCAGCCGCGGUAAUACGGAGGGUGCAAGCGUUAAUCGGAAUUACUGGGCGUAAAGCGCACGCAGGCGGUUUGUUAAGUCAGAUGUGAAAUCCCCGAGCUUAACUUGGGAACUGCAUUUGAAACUGGCAAGCUAGAGUCUUGUAGAGGGGGGUAGAAUUCCAGGUGUAGCGGUGAAAUGCGUAGAGAUCUGGAGGAAUACCGGUGGCGAAGGCGGCCCCCUGGACAAAGACUGACGCUCAGGUGCGAAAGCGUG